rnacentral:tRNA from 1 species
GCCCGGAUGGCGAAAUUGGUAGACGCACUGUCUUCAGGAGGCAGCGCCGCAAGGCAUGCUGGUUCGAGUCCAGUUCCGGGCA